rnacentral:tRNA from 1 species
GGCUUAUUAACUCAGUUGGUUAGAGCAUCGCAUUAAUAACGUGAAAGUCACAGCUUUAAUUCCUACAUGAGCCA